GUUGUUGAGAAGAAAGAAGUUUCGGGGUAUACGUAAAGACAGCAGAAAAGAGGAGAGGCAGACAAGUGGGGGACAGAAAGAAAAACCAGGUGUAACUGUGGUAAGAAGCUCUCCCAGGGGAAAGCUGCUGACGUACUCCACAACUCUAAUAGUGUUUUUAUACUAUGGGUGCUUGGAGAUCAGUCCUAUGUUGAUGAAGAGAUGCAUUCUUUCUGACAUAGCCACAUUUCUCACUUGACAAGAAGGCAUUGUUAAUAAGCCGUAUAUACGACUUGGAUAAGCAAGACUCUUCCUGAGAGUUGGAAAGUAAAGAACAUGAGCUACUUCUACAGCUACAGGAACUUGAGAUUUUUUCUAAGGGCUGGGAAGGGGAAACAGAAACUGGGAACCUCUUAAUAAAUUGGAAUUUGGUUUUACAGUUACUAAAUGUAUAAGAUAUUGCCCAGUUCCAUGUAAGGUACAACUCUGCUCCAGUUAAACUCUUGGACUUGCUAGUGUGAUUAGAUGUUGGAUGUGGUUCUGCAGCGACUGGAACUAAACUUAUAUCUGUAACUUUAAUAUUUAGAUAUUCAUAUAUAAAACUAGAAAUACUCAUUCUGAAAUCAAGCUAAACACUUUUAUCUGGAAACAUUUAUUUACUUACAGUGUUCGGUUAUGCUUCCCUCUGCUUGGCUCCACUUUUUCCUUUAAAUAAGGAUAAUAAUAAUCAAAUCUUGCAAAAUGAUUUUUCCCAACCAGAUGAAUUUGCUGCAAAGGGGACUGUGGUAACUCAGCAGGAAGAACAAGCAUAGGAGGAUGCCUAAGCUGUUUUAAUGUUGUUCAUGCAGCUCUUCUAUGUAUAAAACCACAACUCUAGUAACUUUCAAAACAAAGUGGCAUAAUAAAAUGUGCCGUCAAAUGAAUGAUGCCUUUUGUCAGGACGAGUAGGACAAAAUUUGAACUUUUAUACUGCAGGGUGCUAACAGGUUCAGUGUUAAGUGAUUGACUGAGAAAUACUUGUAUUCUCUGCUGCCUAAUGCCACGUUGCUUUUAUAUGUAAAAUUUAAGUUUGGAUUUAGUAUUCAUUUUAUUGUUGAUCAAAAUUUGCCAUGAAGCACAAAUUCAAUUAAGUUAUGACAAGCAAGUCUUUAAAACACAUCUUAAAAUUCUAACCAGGACCUCCACUGACUGGAGGUUUAGUACUUCAGCUUUCUCUUGCUUAUAUGGAAAAUUGGUAAGGUUCUCAAUAUGUGGUUAAGUAGGUUAACACAGCUGUCUUUGCUGUAGUAGAAAUGAGAUCAAGGAAUCUUGGUCUAUAUCAAACAAAGGUACUAUUUAACUUGAACAGUAAUAUUCUGUAUUAAAGAAAAAUGGGCAGACUUAAAGUAUGCUUUAAAAUGUAAUUAUAAAUGCAAUAAAGUCUCUGUGUUGGAGACCUCAGGAUCAUAGUAUGCACCAUCUUUUCUCAUAUGUCCUCCAGUCGUUAAUAUGCAGCUGUUCUCCUUCAGAUGAUGUGAGUGUGAGCUUUAGGAGUGAACUGAAAAAUUCUAUUUCCAUUUCUGCCCAUCUCAACAGGAAAUGAUUAAAAAUUGUUGAAUCAGAGGGUACUACAAUGCUCACUUUCUCAUUUAGCUGUAAGAGGGGAAUGCCUGCUAAGGAUUAAUGGCAGCUGAUACACAUUAUUUCUUGGUCAUGAAGAGACUCUUAGAUAAUUUACAUAGUUCUCCUUUAAAAAUCUAAAUACAUGUAGAGUAGGUAGAUGUCUUUUUAAAGUAAGCGAAUUGCAGAAGAACGUACUGAUACAACUGAUCCAUUUGGGGUUUCAUAGUGCCUUCCUGUUUCCUUCCUCCAAUAUCCCCAUACUGUAAAGGCUACCUUUCCAUUCUCCUCCUUUUUUUCCCCCUUCCUUCUCCACUGCGCUUUUCUAAACUCUUUUCUGCUUCACAGGUACUUUACUUUCUGAAACAGCUUGUAUGUUGUAUGUCUCCGCUCAAUUUCGGCUCUUUUGUGUUACAUUUGCCUUUAAAUUGAUUGCAUGUAAUUAAAGACCUGAAGAAACCUGCUUCAUUUUUCUACCUGCAUCUGUUGGCUUCAUAGAUUUGGAGACAGAAGAAAGAUCUUUAUUUGAAAUACAAAUACAAAUGGAUGAAUUCAGUAUCCCAUACAUCUACUUUCCCAUUUCAGGAAGAUUAGAGGCAAAUCUUUAAAUCUGCGGUAUCAUGAGGAAGACAGUGAUCAAACCUUUCAUUUUGCUGGGACUUGGGUAAUAUUUGACAUGUGACAAACAUUAAAACUGAAGAGGGCAGUUAAUUCAGGAAAAUUUAAGCAUUGUAGGAUGCAUUCACCAAUGGCUGUUUUCUAGAAUUGCUGUGGUGAUUUAUGAACUUAGUGAUUUCUAAAAUAAGAACUGAGAAACUUUUAUGGAAUGUCACCUUUACUCUUCUAAAUGAAUGACUAGCUGACAAAUGAAAGAAGGCAAGCAAGGUCUGUUGUCACUGUAAGUAUGGUUUUACCUGAACUUUUGUUUUGGUGAAAGUUUUCUUUCUUUUAUUUAUUGCUUUCUUUCCCUUUAAUAAAUAACCAAGCACACAAACAAAAACAACAACAAAAAAACAACACAAAGAAAAGCACAAACAUAAACAAAAAAACAGUUCUUUGGUAUUCUCUUAGAGUGCCUUAUGCCACACUAGUUAUAUCACUUCUAUUUAUUGUUCAUGAAAGGACUGUGAGAGUUCUUUGGUGACGUUCUGAAACAGUGCUUUGUUAUAUGUUCUAAUUUACUGUGUAGAUAGUUGCUGCUAAUUUGGCUAAAACUGAAUUCCAGUAUGUGUGGAAGAACAAUAUUAAUAGAAGAAAAAUGGGACUGAAAUGAGAUUUUUCUUAAAAUUAGAGAAAGAAUUCUAAAACAAUAGGGUUUGGGCUAGUUUUUUCUAGAACUGAUAUAGCCCGUUCAUCCCGCUUCAUAGGUUUUGUAUAAUUUGACCUUGAGCUUUUACUCCUGAUAGAAACUAAUUGUAUGUGUUGAGUUCAAAUCAUAGUGUUAAAAUGAAAUUAGUACUGCACAGGAGGGGAUAUUACAAGGAAAAACACACUGUCUUAAUGGGCCAUAAACCUGAGUGAAGCAGUAUUUUCAAACCAGAGAUAACUGUAAAGUCAUCUUUACUAUCUAUGAUUCAAGUAUACCCCUGAAAGUUAUAAUUUAGGCCAUAAGUAGAAAGACUGUAGGAGCUGAAAAGCUACAUUCUCAUGCUCCAAAAUAUCUUCCCGUGGGUCACCAGGGUCAUGCAGUGUUCUUAGAAAUUGCAAAGCACUGAGACUAUAAAAGCUUCCUAGAAAAAAGUGGAUCAGGACACAUGUGCCAUGUGUCAUUGCAUUUGCUAAUAAUCUCAUUGCAGUCAGUUGUCCAGUGUGGAAAGAUGCUCUUACAUCUGGGCAAUAUUCAGGUUUCAGUAACAUUACAAUAAGCCUUUUAGGAUCCGUGACAGUAUGGAUUACAACUGAGGUAAAUUAAAGUGGUUUUUGUUUGUUAUGGUUUUUUUGUUUUUGCUUUAGUUAGUGCCAAAGAUUGAUGUGUCAAGUUUUUAACAUGUUCUUUGGAGAAAAGUCAGAUUUUAUUAUACUAAUAUGGUUCUCUGAGUUGUGCUCUUUUUUCAUAAGGAGCACGUUGUAAAUUACUUAAUGUCGUUUGUCUUCCUUUUUUUUUUUCUUACAACACAUUUCACUUCCACAGCGUACACACUGAUGUGAUCUGAGCUUGUUUGCUCUGAAGAUAAUGCAAGUUUUGCCAAUGACUUUGACAAAGAAAAGCAUUUUGCCAGUAAUUGCUUGUAAUAUACAGCUAUAACUAUCCAUAAUAUUAUGUGCCAUAUUUCAGAAACAGAAGGGAAGAGAAAUGUAAAACCAUAAUAUAAAGAACUCUGGGGUUUUGGUUCUCAUUUACACUACAACUCCCUUUUAUACUGGUUGGCCCUGGGAAUACAACGCAUUCUUGAUAUGAUGCAGUUAUAAACUUGGAUCACUUCAAGGUUCCUUUUCUGUGACACAAUGUAAAGAAGCCAUUGUGUACCAGGAGACUAGGACCUAGAGAUACCAACCUCCCUGUCCCAUCCUCAGUAUACCUACCUAAAGCUUUUUAGAAUGUAUUCUUAGGCUCUAUGCACUUCGUGUCAUGCUUACAUCUGUGAUGAUGACGUAGGUAACAUGUUAAAAUAUGAAAGUAUGAGGUAAAUUUGUUUUAAAUUUCUUUUUCAAAAUCUGAAAGUAAUUUCUGUAUUGUGCUCAAACCCUCUCCUGUAAAUAGCAACAUGAUAACUUCAAACAAAUUAGCAUACUUUGCCACAGAAAAGUGAACAACUUCAUUCUACAGUAUUUCGAUGGUUUAGAGCAUUAAGCGUUAAAUACUUUGGAAGAUUUAUGGUGCAUUCAGAGCUAACGAAGAUCACAGGGCCUUUUGUUCAUGUAUAUGGAACACCAUUGUCUGCGGUGGAAUUAAUGUCAAAAGGAGUUAGAGGAAACUGCAAGAUGACCUGGCAGAGGUAUUUUUAUAUAUAGACACAAAGAGCUCUUUCCACACGGGCACAAAGGAUAGAGGCCAAAGAGCUGCGUUAAAGCUGCUGCUUUAAACUAUUUUAUCUUCAAGGGGCCCAAGCAGUUGAAGACUCACUGAAAAUUGUUGUUUCUACAGUACUGUAGCCCUCACUAUAGUGAGUCUAUUCUGUGCUCUUGCAUCUGAUUAAGGUGGUCUUUGUUUACUUUACAGCCAUUCGCCUCCAGAACAGUCCUCUUCUACUUCAAUACCUCUGCCUGUUGGAUAGGCUUGACCUGAACAGUAGUCAGCAACAAAAAGGAAAUAUUUCUUGCACUGGACAAGAAGGGCAACAGAUAUAAUUUAUCUGGACUUAUGCAAGGCCUUUGACAGAGACCAACACCAGUUUGUUAUCUCUCUAUAUUGGAGAGCUGUGGAUUUGAAGGCUGGGCUACUUGAUGGACAAAGAAUUUGUUGGAUGAUUGCAGUCAGAAGGAUGUAGCCAAUGGCUCUGUGUCCAAGUGGAGGAAGUUUCAGACAGCCACACAGAAUUUUACAAUUGCACCACGCAGACAGACUCUUGUUCAUCACUGGCAAAAGUAAAUAGUUUAUGGUAGUGACUAUGCUGAAAAAUAGUGUUCUGUAGCUGAAAAUUUGCUCUGACAAAUAGUGUUAUUGUGAUCUUUCUAGCUACUGUAGUUUCCAUGGGAAUAAGUAGGAGGUAUUACUUUCAGAGCAGUCUCUGUAUUUAGGCUCUAAUUGAACAAAAAUAUGUGUACUAAUAUCUUUGCAUGGCAAUAUGCAUUAUCUAAGUAUUGCAAUCAGAAUAUUCUGUCAUACUUGCCAAUUUACUGGGAUCUGUUGUGUUUCUGAUGAAUACUGACAAAAACAAACUGCAGUUCCCUUAGAGACUGCUGAUAUAUUUGAACUUUUGUCUGCUCAAAAAAAAGGUAGAGUAAUAAAUUAUGUGAGUUCUGACUCGUUUAAACCCUGUGGCUAUGUCCCACAAGCAAUAUCUACAUUUUAAUAUAGAAAUGUGAAUAUUUGAGUUGUUACCAACAGCAGUGGGCUCAAAUGCACUGUCAAAGGUAGAUUUAGAUGUAAGGCUUAGAUUUUGACAGUAGGCUGUGGCUUAUUAGACAAGAGUUAGCAGGUCCUUGGUUCUCACUAUGGGUACAGCCAGUUCCCAUGGGAAAGGAAGUCCAGUUUCGUGGCUCUGUUUCAGUAUUCCAGAAUCUCUUAUUUCACCUAUGGGAGAUGUAGAACAAAGAAUUAGGAAACCUACUCCUGUGCUUCUUAGAGCCAACAAACCAUUUUCUGCCUUGGGCCAGUGACUCAGUUUAUUUAAGCUUGCCUGUUGGCCUUGAUUAUGUGUUUACUUAUAUCCAUGCCAUUUCUAGGUGUGACAGCAUUCAUAGAGGUUGUUAGAUAGCUCCUCUGUCAGAUAGCUUUAAUGAUGCUGUGAAGAAGCUCAGCCCUGCCAUCGUAGUGCAGCUUAGCUACUCAAACACUCUUUUGGUCCUGCUACUUCAGGUAAUGUGACCUACAUCUGGGACCUACAGAAGACGGAUAACUACUGAGUUCAACAGCUUUGCAAGCUGUCUAGAUUAACCUCCGUGACAGCAAAGGUAUAACAAUUCUUUUUCCAUGCAACCAUCUUUUCCCUUCAGUCCCUAUUAAGGAUGUAGACAUUACAGUAGUGAUGGCUCACUUUGAGCUGGGACUUUCAUAGAAUCACAGAAUGGCUUAGGUUGGAGGGGACCCUAAAAAUCACCUAGUUCUACCCCCCUGCUAUGGGCAGUGUUUCUGUCCACUAGGUCAGGCUGCACAGGAUCCCAUCCAACCUAGGCUUGAGUGCCUCCAGAGAUGGAGCAUCCACAACCUCUCUGCGCAGGCUGUUCUAGUGCCUCACCACUCUCUAAGUAAAAAAUUUCUUCCUAACUUCUAACCUAAAUCUCCCCUCUUUUAGCUUAAAGCUAUUCCCCCUUGUCCUAUCACUGUCAGACCAUGUAAAAAGUUGGUCUUCCUCCUGUUUAUAAGCUCCCCUUAAGUACUGGAAGGCCCCAGUGAUGUCACCUCAAAGCCUUCUCCAAACUAAACAAAGCCAACUCCCUCAGUCUUCCUGCACAGGAGAGGUGCUCCAACCCUGUGAUCAUCUUCUUGGCCUCCUCUAGACCCACUCCAACAGCUCCUCAUCCUUCCUGUAUGGCAACCAAUUCUUACACUUGACUAAGUUUUUCUAUUGCAAUUGGAUGAAACAGGGACACAGUCAACCACAACCACGUGGCAGCAGUCAGAAUUAAAUAUACCAAACUCCAGCACAGAGAGAUUAGUACUAUUUAGAACUGCUCUUCUACCAAGAAGCAGAUUAUGAAAAUAAGUGCAUAACAAUGCAGUUUGUCAUUUGUCACCAGCAUGUAUUGUCUGUAAAAUGCCACAGCCCUUAAGAAGCACAGGAGGGACAUUACAGGAGUAUGAAGGAGAAGAGGAAGAAACAGAGGGCUUGAUAACUGAAAGCUAAAGAGUCUGGCAACUGCAGAUAAGCACUCACCUAACAAGAUGCUUAUUGCUUAAUCUAUGAGGAAGUAUCUUGAGACAGGUAAGAGGUCUGGCAUGCUACUGAAUUUAUUAAAUAUCCUUUUUUAUUUUUUUGCUUCUAAUUCCUCUUUGGAUCUUAAAUCUGUGCUUUCAGAGAGGCAGAGAACUGCAUCUUGGCACAGAAUGGCACAGACCUUUGAGCACCUGUCUAAAAGAAGAAAUUCCACUUGUUUUGAUAAAUCUUACUUUUUUGCAGGACAUCUGCAAUGUGAGCAGAAAUGGAACUACCUGUGCCUCAUCGCUAGAAUAAAAGGUACCACUUCUGUUUAAAAAAAUUAAUUAAAAAACGUACCUUAUGAUCUUUGCUUUUCCUUAAUAAAUGUUAGUAGUUAUAAGAAUGAAAAUAUUGAAUAAUUACACUUGAUACCAUUCAAGGCUUCUCUCUAUUGUCAGGAAAACCAGAGAAAUGCAGAGGUGUAUACUGGAUAAGGGUUGUUUUAAAAGCAUAGUGAAGAGAGGGGAGUACACAAACAAGACAAUGAGACAGUUUAUUGAUUGCAGCCACAGAAGUCAACACUAGAGUAUCCAUCCCUGGGAAGUUCAAAGAAGUGUGGAUAUAGUGUGAAUUUAAGUAAGACUGUGGUUACACUGUAGUUUGUAUCUUCUGGCAAUCAAAUAAUUUGGUUAGAAACCAUGUUUUCUGUGCUUAGCAAAAAAAGACAUCAGAAGUUUUGCUUUGUUUUUGAAAUGCUGAAAGCAUUAAAAUGAAUAAACAAUAGCAUGGUUUAAUCAA